AUUGAACGCUGGCGGCAGGCUUAACACAUGCAAGUCGAGCGGGGUGAUGGUGCUUGCACUAUCACUUAGCGGCGGACGGGUGAGUAAUGCUUAGGAAUCUGCCUAUUAGUGGGGGACAACAUCUCGAAAGGGAUGCUAAUACCGCAUACGUCCUACGGGAGAAAGCAGGGGAUCACUUGUGACCUUGCGCUAAUAGAUGAGCCUAAGUCGGAUUAGCUAGUUGGUGGGGUAAAGGCCUACCAAGGCGACGAUCUGUAGCGGGUCUGAGAGGAUGAUCCGCCACACUGGGACUGGGACACGGCCCAGACUCCUACGGGAGGCAGCAGUUGGGAAUAUUGGACAAGGGGGGGAACCCUGAUCCAGCCAUGCCGGGUGUGUGAAGAAGGCCUUAUGGUUGUAAAGCACUUUAAGCGAGGAGGAGGCUCUUUUGGUUAAUACCCAAGAUGAGUGGACGUUACUCGCAGAAUAAGCACCGGCUAACUCUGUGCCAGCCGCCGCCGUAA
rnacentral:rRNA from 1 species